UAAGUAUUCCUCCCUCCAACAAACAAUAUCUCAAGUUUGUCAAAAUUUGGAUGUAUAUAGACAUGACUUACUGUAUAGAUACAUUCAAAUUUCGUUAAAAUUAAGACAUCCUUUGUUGGACGGAGGAAAUAAAAA
rnacentral:pre_miRNA from 1 species